UGAACGCUGGCGGCGUGCCUAAGACAUGCAAGUCGUACGUGAAAGUAGCAAUAUGAGUAAAGUGGCGCACGGGUGAGUAAUACUUGGAUAAUGCGCCUCCUCGCUGGGGAUAACCAGGCGAAAGCUUGGCUAAUACCGAAUAGUCCGUUCUUAACUUCGGUUUUGAACGGUAAAGCCGUAAGGCGCGGGGAGAGUAGUCCAAAUCCCAUUAGCUAGUUGGUAGGGUAACGGCCUACCAAGGCUACGAUGGGUAGCUGGUCUGAGAGGACGAUCAGCCACACUGGAACUGGAACACGGUCCAGACUCCUACGGGAGGCAGCAGUUAGGAAUUUUGCGCAAUGGGGGAAACCCUGACGCAGCAACGCCGCGUGAAGGAUGAAGGCUUUCGGGUUGUAAACUUCUUUUAGCAGGAAAGAACACAAUGACGGUACCUGCAGAAAAAGCACCGGCUAACUCUGUGCCAGCAGCCGCGGUAAUCUGAUGGCGCGAGG
rnacentral:rRNA from 1 species